GACGAACGCUGGCGGCGUGCUUAACACAUGCAAGUCGAGCGGUAAGGCCCUUUCGGGGGUAUACGAGCGGCGAACGGGUGAGUAACACGUGGGUGACCUGCCCUCAGCUCUGGGAUAAGCCUGGGAAACUGGGUCUAAUACCGGAUAUGACUCCAUGACGCAUGUUGUGGGGUGGAAAGCCUUGUGCGGCUGGGGAUGGGCCCGCGGCCUAUCAGCUUGUUGGUGGGGUGAUGGCCUACCAAGGCGACGACGGGUAGCCGGCCUGAGAGGGCGACCGGCCACACUGGGACUGAGACACGGCCCAGACUCCUACGGGAGGCAGCAGUGGGGAAUCUUGCGCAAUGGGCGAAAGCCUGACGCAGCGACGCCGCGUGAGGGAUGACGGCCU
rnacentral:rRNA from 1 species